rnacentral:tRNA from 1 species
GCCGUCGUAGCUCAGUCGGUAGAGCGUGUGACUGUUAAUCACAAGGUCAGCGGUUCGAGCCCGCUCGACGGCG